CUACAGGGGUUUCUAAUCCUGUUUGAUCCCCACGCUUUCGUGUUUCAGUGUCAGUACAGGCCCAGGCGGCUGCCUUCGCCAUUGGUGUUCCUUCCGAUAUCUACGCAUUUCACCGCUACACCGGAAAUUCCACCGCCCUCUACCGUACUCUAGUCAAACAGUCUCGGAAGCAGUUCCCAGGUUAAGCCCGGGGAUUUCACAACCGACUUGUCAAACCACCUACACACCCUUUACGCCCAGUAAAUCCGAUUAACGCUUGCACCCUCUGUAUUACCGCGGCUGCUGGCAC
rnacentral:rRNA from 1 species